GAAGGUCCCAAGGGUCGGGCUGUUCGCCCGUUAAAGCGGUACAUGAGCUGGGUUCAGAACGUCGUGAGACAGUUCGGUCUGUAUCCGUCGUGGGCGUUGGAGUGUUGAAGGGAGCUGUCCCUAGUACGAGAGGACCGGGACGGACCGACCGCUCGUGUACCGGUUGUCGCGCCAGCGGCAUCGCCGGGUAGCGACGUCGGGACGGGAUAACCGCUGAAAGCAUCUAAGUGGGAAGCCCACCCAAAGAUGAGCACUCCCGGACCACAAGGUCCCAGAAGGGGCGUGAGAGACGAUCACGUUGAUAGGCGGUAGGUGUAAGCAUGGUGACAUGUUCAGCCGAGCCGUACUAAUCCCCCGAGAGGCUUGGCCGG
rnacentral:rRNA from 1 species